GUGGGGAAUUUUGGACAAUGGGCGAAAGCCUGAUCCAGCCAUGCCGCGUGCAGGAUGAAGGCCUUCGGGUUGUAAACUGCUUUUGUACGGAACGAAAAGACUCCUUCUAAUAAAGGGGGUCCAUGACGGUACCGUAAGAAUAAGCACCGGCUAACUACGUGCCAGCAGCCGCGGUAAUACGUAGGGUGCAAGCGUUAAUCGGAAUUACUGGGCGUAAAGCGUGCGCAGGCGGUUAUAUAAGACAGAUGUGAAAUCCCCGGGCUCAACCUGGGAACUGCAUUUGUGACUGUAGAGCUAGAGUACGGUAGAGGGGGAUGGAAUUCCGCGUGUAGCAGUGAAAUGCGUAGAUAUGCGGAGGAACACCGAUGGCGAAGGCAAUCCCCUGGACCUGUACUGACGCUCAUGCACGAAAGCGUGGGGAGCAAACAGGAUUAGAAACCCGGGUAGUCC
rnacentral:rRNA from 1 species